rnacentral:sRNA from 1 species
GCCGGGUGCGGUGGUGUAUGCCUGUAAUCCCAGUUGCUCGGGAGGCUGAGGCAGGAGGAUCACAAGUUCAAACCAGCCUCAG